rnacentral:rRNA from 1 species
CCUACGGGAGGCAGCAGUGGGGAAUUUUGGACAAUGGGCGCAAGCCUGAUCCAGCCAUUCCGCGUGAGUGAAGAAGGCCUUCGGGUUGUAAAGCUCUUUCGCAAGGGGAGAAAACUUAUCCUCUAACAUAGGAUGAGGUUGACGGUACCUUGAUAAGAAGCACCGGCUAACUACGUGCCAGCAGCCGCGGUAAUACGUAGGGUGCGAGCGUUAAUCGGAAUUACUGGGCGUAAAGCGUGCGCAGGCGGCUUUGUAAGUCAGAUGUGAAAUCCCCGAGCUCAACUUGGGAACUGCGUUUGAAACUACAAGGCUAGAAUAUGUCAGAGGGGGGUAGAAUUCCACGUGUAGCAGUGAAAUGCGUAGAGAUGUGGAGGAAUACCAAUGGCGAAGGCAGCCCCCUGGGAUAAUAUCGACGCUCAUGCACGAAAGCGUGGGGAGCAAACAGGAUUAGAUACCCUGGUAGUCCACGCCCUAAACGAUGUCUACUAGUUGUUGGUGGAGUAAAAUCCAUGAGUAACGCAGCUAACGCGUGAAGUAGACCGCCUGGGGAGUACGGUCGCAAGAUUAAAACUCAAAUGAAUUGACGG